GAUGAACGCUAGCUACAGGCUUAACACAUGCAAGUCGAGGGGAAACGAUAGAGAAGGCUUGCUUUUUCUAGGCGUCGACCGGCGCACGGGUGAGUAACGCGUAUCCAACCUGCCCAUCACUUGGGGAUAACCUUGCGAAAGUAAGACUAAUACCCAAUGACGUCCAUAGAAGACAUCUGAAAGGGAUUAAAGAUUUAUCGGUGAUGGAUGGGGAUGCGUCUGAUUAGCUUGUUGGCGGGGUAACGGCCCACCAAGGCGACGAUCAGUAGGGGUUCUGGGAGGAAGGUCCCCCACAUUGGAACUGAGACACGGUCCAAACUCCUACGGGAGGCAGCAGUGAGGAAUAUUGGUCAAUGGGCGAGAGCCUGAACCAGCCAAGUAGCGUGCAGGAUGACGGCCCUAUGGGUUGUAAACUGCUUUUAUAAGGGAAUAAAGUGAGCCUCGUGAGGCUUUUUGCAUGUACCUUAUGAAUAAGGACCGGCUAAUUCCGUGCCAGCCGCCGCGGUAA
rnacentral:rRNA from 1 species